GGAGAUCGCCUGUUUUAACAAAAACAUUGUUUUUAGAAAAUACAAUUAAAAAUAAUUCCUGCCCAGUGACUUGUUAAACGGCCGCAGUAAAUAGUGCAAAGGUAGCAUAAUCAGUUGUUCUUUAAUUGAGGACUAGAAUGAAUGGAUAAAUAAAGAUUAACCUAUAACAAAUUUACCAAUAUAAAUUUACCUUUAGAUGAAAAGGUCUAAAUAAAAAUAAAAGACCAGAAGACCCUAUCGAGCUUCAUUUUUUUAUAACAAUAAAUUUAAUGUUAAACUUAAAAUUUGGUUGGGGCAACCUAGGAACUCUCAUCCUAUAAACACAAAGAGAUAUACCUUACACCUUACUUAUUAUAAUUAUAAGCUACCGUAGGGAUAACAGGCUAAUUUUAUUUUAUAGUACAAAUAUACAAUAAAGAUUGGCACCUCGAUGUUGGCUUAAGAUACCUCUAAAACGGAGAAGUUUUAAAAGUAGGCUUGUUCAGCCUUUAAAAUCUUACGUGAUCUGAGUUCCAGACCGGAGA
rnacentral:rRNA from 1 species